rnacentral:rRNA from 1 species
AGAGUUUGAUCCUGGCUCAGGAUGAACGCUGGCGGCGUGCCUAAUACAUGCAAGUCGAGCAGAAUCAGCAGAUCGGAGAUUCGUCAAAGAGAAGCUGAGGAAAGCGGCGGACGGGUGAGUACGCGUAGGCAACCUGCCCUUAGCAGAGGGAUAGCCAUUGGAAACGAUGAUUAAAACCUCUAAUGCUGUUUUUACACAUGUAGAGACAGCCAAAGAUUUAUCGGCUAAGGAUGGGCCUGCUCUGAUUAACUAGUUGGUGAGGUAACGGCCCACCAAGGUGACGAUCAGUAGCCGACCUGAAGGGUGAUCGGCCACAUUGGAACUGAGACACGGUCCAAACUUCUACGGAAGGCAGCAGUAGGAAUCUUGCACAAUGGGGGAAACCCUGAUGCAGCAACGCCGCGUGAACGAUGAAGGCCUAGGGUUGUAAAGUUCUGAUCUGUGGGAAGAAGAAGUGACGGUACCACAGGAGAAAGCCCCGCUAAAUACGUGCCAGCAGCCGCGGUAAUGCGUAUGGGGCAAGCGUUAUCCGGAAUUAUUGGCGUAAAGAGUGCGUAGGUGGUUACCUAAGCGCAAGGUUUAAUCUUGAGGCUCAACCUCUUCUGCCUUGCGAACUGGGCUACUUGAGUGCAGGAGGGGAAAGCGGAAUUCCCAGUGUAGGGUGAAAUGCGUAGAUAUUGGGAAGAACACCGGUGGCGAAGGCGGCUUUCUGGACUGUAAUGACACUGAGGCACGAAAGCGUGGGGAGCAAACAGGAUUAGAUACCCUGGUAGUCCACGCGUAAACGAUGAGCACUAGUUGUUGGGUACGAAUGUAUUCAGUGACGCAGUUAACGCAAUAGUGCUCCGCCUGGGGA